rnacentral:rRNA from 1 species
UGCCAGCAGCCGCGGUAAUACGGGGGGAGCAAGCGUUGUCCGGAAUUACUGGGCGUAAAGCGUGCGCAGGCAGUUUUGUAAGUCAGAUGUGAAAUCCCCGGGCUUAACCUGGGAACUGCGUUUGAAACUACAAGGCUAGAGUGUGGCAGAGGGGGGUGGAAUUCCGCGUGUAGCAGUGAAAUGCGUAGAGAUGUGGAGGAACACCGAUGGCGAGGGCAGCCCCCUGGGUCAACACUGACGCUCAGGCACGAAAGCAUGGGGAGCAAACAGGAUUAGAUA